rnacentral:tRNA from 1 species
UGAGGUAUAGCUCAGUGGUAAAGCACUUAUAUAGCAACAUGAGGCCCUGGGUCCAAUCCCCAGUACCGUAA